rnacentral:rRNA from 1 species
GUGCAGCAGUCGAGAAUUUUUCUCAAUGGGGGCAACCCUGAAGGAGCGACGCCGCGUGGAGGAUGAAGGCUUUCGGGUUGUAAACUCCUGUCAUUUGAGAACAAGUGCCAACAAGUAACUACUGUUGGCUUGAUAGUAUCAGAAGAGGAAGGGACGGCUAACUCUGUGCCAGCAGCCGCGGUAAUACAGAGGUCCCAAGCGUUGUUCGGAUUCAUUGGGCGUAAAGGGUGCGUAGGUGGCGUGGUAAGUCGGGUGUGAAAUUUCGGAGCUUAACUCCGAAACUGCAUUCGAUACUGCCGUGCUUGAGGACUGGAGAGGAGACUGGAAUUUACGGUGUAGCAGUGAAAUGCGUAGAGAUCGUAAGGAAGACCAGUGGCGAAGGCGGGUCUCUGGACAGUUCCUGACACUGAGGCACGAAGGCCAGGGGAGCAAACGGGAUUAGAUACCCCCGUAGU